rnacentral:rRNA from 1 species
AUUGAACGCUGGCGGCAGGCCUAACACAUGCAAGUCGAGCGGAUGAAGGGAGCUUGCUCCUGGAUUCAGCGGCGGACGGGUGAGUAAUGCCUAGGAAUCUGCCUGGUAGUGGGGGAUAACGUCCGGAAACGGGCGCUAAUACCGCAUACGUCCUGAGGGAGAAAGUGGGGGAUCUUCGGACCUCACGCUAUCAGAUGAGCCUAGGUCGGAUUAGCUAGUUGGUGGGGUAAAGGCCUACCAAGGCGACGAUCCGUAACUGGUCUGAGAGGAUGAUCAGUCACACUGGAACUGAGAAACGGUCCAGACUCCUACGGGAGGCAGCAGUGGGGAAUAUUGGACAAUGGGCGAAAGCCUGAUCCAGCCAUGCCGCGUGUGUGAAGAAGGUCUUCGGAUGGUAAAGCACUUUAAGUUGGGAGGAAGGGCAGUAAGUUAAUACCUUGCUGUUUUGACGUUACCAACAGAAUAAGCACCGGCUAACUUCGUG